GCAUAGAUAGCUCAGUGGCAGAGCGGUGGGGCGUUAACCCACGCGGCCCGGGUUCGAUCCUCGCUCGAUGCA